CAUCGGUAGCUGUAGCAACAUUGUAAACAUCACGUAAGUCACGGUAGUUCAUCGGUAGCCGUAGCAACAUUGUAAACAUCACGUAAGUCACGGUAGUUCCCGGACUCCCAUUGGCUAAGCCCUUAUCAAACCGUGCCUAAAAGCUUUCUUGGCUGUAAGUGUCGGAUAACCUAAGUGAUGCCGCCCUUAGGAGCAUAUAAAAACAGAGACACGGUUAGACAGAGACUCGUGUGAGCAGAGCUUAAAAACAACGCACAUGCACACACACACUUGAG